rnacentral:rRNA from 1 species
UACGGGGGGGGCAAGCGUUGUUCGGAAUUACUGGGCGUAAAGGGCUCGUAGGCGGCCAACUAAGUCAGACGUGAAAUCCCCCGGCUUAACCUGGGAACUGCGUCUGAUACUGGAAGGCUUGAGUAUGGGAGAGGGAUGUAGAAUUCCAGGUGUAGCGGUGAAAUGCGUAGAUAUCUGGAGGAAUACCGGUGGCGAAGGCGGCAUCCUGGACCAUUACUGACGCUGAGGCGCGAAAGCUAGGGGAGCAAACAGG